ACGGGAGGCAGCAGUGGGGAAUAUUGGGCAAUGGGCGAAAGCCUGACCCAGCAACGCCGCGUGAAGGAAGAAGGCCUUCGGGUUGUAAACUUCUUUUACCAGGGACGAAGGACGUGACGGUACCUGGAGAAGAAGCACCGGCUAAAUACGUGCCAGCAGCCGCGGUAAUACGUAUGGUGCAAGCGUUAUCCGGAUUUACUGGGUGUAAAGGGAGCGUAGGCGGCAUGGCAAGCCAGAUGUGAAAGCCCGGGGCCCAACCCCGGAACUGCAUUUGGAACUGUCAGGCUAGAGUACCGGAGAGGUAAGCGGAAUUCCUAGUGUAGCGGUGAAAUGCGUAGAUAUUAGGAGGAACACCAGUGGCGAAGGCGGCUUACUGGACGGUAACUGACGCUGAGGCUCGAAAGCGUGGGGAGCAAACAGGAUUAGAUACCCUGGUA
rnacentral:rRNA from 1 species